rfam:Sorghum bicolor cultivar BTx623 chromosome 5, whole genome shotgun sequence.
CGACUCGAGGAUGAGGAGCUUGCGUCAUACAUCCUCGCUGGCCUCGACUCUGACUACAACCCGGUGGUCUCCACCAUCGGCAUGCGCGUGGAGCCGCUCACGCUUGGUGAGCUGUACACCCAGCUAAUCAGUUGGGA